rnacentral:rRNA from 1 species
GGACGAACGCUGGCGGCGUGCCUAAUACAUGCAAGUCGAACGAGCUCUCCUAAAUUGAUUUUAUGCUUGCAUAAAUGAUUUUUAGAUUCGGAGCGAGUGGCGAACUGGUGAGUAACACGUGGGUAACCUGCCCCGAAGCGGGGGAUAACAUUUGGAAACAAAUGCUAAUACCGCAUAAUUAGUUGGAACCGCAUGGUUCCAACUUGAAAGAUGGCUCUGCUAUCACUUUGGGAUGGACCCGCGCCGUAUUAGUUAGUUGGUGAGAUAAAAGCCCACCAAGACGAUGAUACGUAGCCGACCUGAGAGGGUAAUCGGCCACAUUGGGACUGAGACACGGCCCAGACUCCUACGGGAGGCAGCAGUAGGGAAUCUUCCACAAUGGACGAAAGUCUGAUGGAGCAACGCCGCGUGAGUGAUGAAGGUUUUCGGAUCGUAAAACUCUGUUGUUAAAGAAGAACAAGUGUUAGAGUAACUGUUAACACUUUGACGGUAUUUAACCAGAAAGCCACGGCUAACUACGUGCCAGCAGCCGCGGUAAUACGUAGGUGGCAAGCGUUGUCCGGAUUUAUUGGCGUAAAGCGAGCGCAGGCGGUUUUGUAAGUCUGCUGUGAAAGCCCUCAGCUCAACUGAGGAAGUGCAGUGGAAACUACAAAACUUGAGUACAGAAGAGGAAAGUGGAACUCCAUGUGUAGCGGUGAAAUGCGUAGAUAUAUGGAAGAACACCAGUGGCGAAGGCGGCUUUCUGGUCUGUUACUGACGCUGAGGCUCGAAAGCAUGGGUAGCGAACAGGAUUAGAUACCCUGGUAGUCCAUGCCGUAAACGAUGAAUACUAGGUGUUGGAGGGUUUCCGCCCUUCAGUGCCGCAGCUAACGCAUUAAGUAUUCCGCCUGGGGAGUACGACCGCAAGGUUGAAACUCAAAGGAAUUGACGGGGGCCCGCACAAGUGGUGGAGCAUGUGGUUUAAUUCGAUGCUACGCGAAGAACCUUACCAGCUCUUGACAUCUUCUGCCAACCCAAGAGAUUGGGCGUUCCCUUCGGGGACAGAAUGACAGGUGGUGCAUGGUUGUCGUCAGCUCGUGUCGUGAGAUGUUGGGUUAAGUCCCGCAACGAGCGCAACCCUUAUUAUUAGUUGCCAGCAUUUAGUUGGGCACUCUAGUGAGACUGCCGGUGAUAAACCGGAGGAAGGUGGGGACGACGUCAAAUCAUCAUGCCCCUUAUGAGCUGGGCUACACACGUGCUACAAUGGAUGGUACAACGAGUCGCGAAACCGCGAGGUCAAGCUAAUCUCUUAAAGCCAUUCUCAGUUCGGAUUGCAGGCUGCAACUCGCCUGCAUGAAGUUGGAAUCACUAGUAAUCGUGGAUCAGCAUGCCACGGUGAAUACGUUCCCGGGCCUUGUACACACCGC